CAGGUGCCAGGAGAUGUUACCACUGGACCGUGAGGAGGAUCUGAGCAGAGUGGUUGAGUUGUCAAGAGAACUUAUGAUUACCAGCUUGAAGGACCUGCCGACUCCUAAUUCACUUGAUUGCUCUCCUGCUAUUCCUUGCUGGAACAGUGAAAGACAGGUCCAGCAGCUCCGAUAAUUUCCAGCCAUUGGAUAUGAUGACUGAGGCCAGUGGGAUUAGAAUCCAGCAAUACCCAAGGUCCACCUGCUCCCACGUGGAACUGAUGAACUGCUGAGAUGACUCUCAGAUGCUGUUCUGGGUUGCAGGUGAGAUCAGAAAGGUGUUGGAUUUGAGUUUGCCCCUCUGUUCAAAGUCCUUCUUAAAUGGGCUGAACAGGAACCUUGGGAUGGUGAAAGUGAAGUGGGGAAUGGAAGACAUGCGUCUUGAAAGGAGAAGAAGAAUAUAUUGAUGGUGCACUGUCUGGACACGAGGAUGAAGUUUUGAGAAGGUGCAAAAAUGUCUUAUAUUUAGGGGAUAAAAAAGAAGAAGAUGGAGCAAUGACAAAAUAAAUCUUCCAUUGCUUUUUUAAAAGUAAGGUUU
rnacentral:lncRNA from 1 species